rnacentral:rRNA from 1 species
ACCAAAGCUAGCUCAACAUACUAAACAAAUACAAAAAUACACCAAAAUAAAAUAAAACAUUCACCUAACAUUAAAGUAUAGGAGAUAGAAAUUUUUAUCCUGACGCUAUAGAGAUAGUACCGUAAGGGAAAGAUGAAAGAAUAAAAUAAAAGUAAAAAAAAGCAAAGAUUACCCCUUCUACCUUUUGCAUAAUGAUUUAACCAGAAAAAAUCUAACAAAGAGAACUUUAGCUAGAUACCCCGAAACCAGACGAGCUACCUAUGAGCAGUUUAAAAGAACCAACUCAUCUAUGUAGCAAAAUAGUGAGAAGACUUGUAGGUAGGGGUGAAAAGCCUAACGAGCCUGGUGAUAGCUGGUUGUCCGAGAAAGAAUUUUAGUUCAACCUUAAAAAUACCCCAAAAACCCUAAAUUCCAAUGUAUUUUUAAGAGAUAGUCUAAAAAGGUACAGCUUUUUAGAUAACGGAUACAACCUUGACUAGAGAGUAAAAUCUUAAUAUUACCAUAGUAGGCCUAAAAGCAGCCAUCAAUUGAGAAAGCGUUAAAGCUCAACAAAUCCACCGACAUAAUCCCAAAAACUAAUAACAAACUCCUAGCCCAAUACCGGACUAAUCUAUUAAAACAUAGAAGCAAUAAUGUUAAUAUGAGUAACAAGAAGCCCUUCUCCUCGCACACGCUUACAUCAGUAACUAAUAAUACACUGAUAAUUAACAAUCAAUAAACCAAAACAACACUAAAACGUUUAUCAAUUACAUUGUUAACCCAACACAGGAGUGCACCAAGGAAAGAUUAAAAGAAGUAAAAGGAACUCGGCAAACACAAACCCCGCCUGUUUACCAAAAACAUCACCUCUAGCAUUACUAGUAUUAGAGGCAAUGCCUGCCCAGUGACACCAGCUCUUACUUCCAAUCAGUGAAAUUGACCUUCCCGUGAAGAGGCGGGAAUAAAAAAAUAAGACGAGAAGACCCUAUGGAGCUUUAAUUAACUAUUCCAAAAGUUAAACAAUUCAACCACAAAGGGAUAAAACAUAACUUAACAUGGACUAGCAAUUUCGGUUGGGGUGACCUCGGAGUACAAAAAACCCUCCGAGUGAUUUUAAUCUAGACAAACCAGUCAAAAUAACCACAACAUCACUUAUUGAUCCAAAAUUUUGAUCAACGGAACAAGUUACCCUAGGGAUAACAGCGCAAUCCUAUUCUAGAGUUCCUAUCGACAAUAGGGUUUACGACCUCGAUGUUGGAUCAGGACACCCAAAUGGUGCAACCGCUAUUAAAGGUUCGUUUGUUCAACGAUUAAAGUCCUACGUGAUCUGAGUUCAGACCGGAGCAAUCCAGGUCGGUUUCUAUCUAUUAUAAAUUUCUCCCAGUACGAAAGGACAAGAGAAAUGAGACCAACCUCACAAACGCGUCUCAGAGAUAAUUAAUGAUAUAAUCUUAACUUAAUUAACUCAUAAUAAAUCCAGCCCUAGAACAGGGCAC